AUUGAACGCUGGCGGCAUGCUUUACACAUGCAAGUCGAACGGUAACAGGCCUUCGGGUGCUGACGUGUGGCGAACGGGUGAGUAAUGCAUCGGAACGUACCCAGAGGUGGGGGAUAACGCAGCGAAAGCUGUGCUAAUACCGCAUGUGAUCUGAGGAUGAAAGCGGGGGACCGAGCAGCAAUGUUUGGCCUCGCGCCUUUGGAGCGGCCGAUGUCGGAUUAGCUAGUUGGUGGGGUAAAGGCCUACCAAGGCGACGAUCCGUAGCUGGUCUGAGAGGACGACCAGCCACACUGGGACUGAGACACGGCCCAGACUCCUACGGGAGGCAGCAGUGGGGAAUUUUGGACAAUGGGCGCAAGCCUGAUCCAGCAAUGCCGCGUGAGGGAAGAAGGCCUUCGGGUUGUAAACCGCUUUUGGCAGGAACGAAACGGUGUCCGCUAAUACCGGGCGCUAAUGACGGUACCUGCAGAAUAAGCACCGGCUAACUACGUG
rnacentral:rRNA from 1 species